ACAGAGAUUACGAUCGGCGGGCUGUGGACAAAUUCGAGCCUCCCUCUGCGACCAGAGCAAAUCUGACAUCUCCAAAUCAGAUCUAAAGUCUCAGCAAGCGAAAGCUGCACCCCCGAAUCCCCCCAACAAGAAAUUCUCCUGCUAUCGGAUUCAGCAGCUGCGGAGCCGGAGAUGGGCGCGGAGUGCCGGUACGAGGUGGCGCAGGCGGCGUACGUCAAGCUCGCGCUGCACGCGCUCAAGCACCCGUCCGCCGCCGUCAACGGCCUCCUCGUCGGCCGCCUCGUGGAGCCCUCCUCCACCCCGGCCGUCGUCUCCGUCGUCGACGCCGUGCCGCUGUCCCACCACCCGCACCACCUGCCGCUGCUCCCCACGCUCGAGCUCGCGCUCACUCUUGUUGAGGACCACUUCGCGACCCAAGGCGAAGGCCUCGCCGUCGUCGGGUACUACCACGCCAACCCGCGCCGCGACGACGCCGAUCUCGCCCCCGUAGCCAAGCGCGUCGGCGACCACAUCUUCCGGUACUUCCCCCGCUCGGCCGUGCUGCUGGUCGAUAACAAGAAACUGGAGGAGGCUGUCAUGGGGAAGUCUCGCGAGCCUGUAGUUCAGGUACUUGUCAAAACUCAAAACUUGCACAAUUUUGCCUACCAGACUUUCAAAUUGGUACCACAAGAGAUUAGCCAUGUGAGGCAUGUUGGUACCAAGGUUUUAAAUUAUUGUUUACGUCCAAGAAGUUAUCAAACUCUAUGUUGCCUAAGUGCCAAAACUUCUAUUUAUGAUUACCAACUAGUUGACUAUGAGAUGGCUGAACAAUUUUUCCUCUGAAAUAGUAUCACUUCAAGCUUAUGGUUCAGACUUGGGAUAUAACAACAACAAUAACAACAUAGUCUUUUUUCCCAAGCAAGUUGGGGUAGGCUAGAGAUAAAACCUGAAAGAAAUAAGUUCAAGGUUCAGUCACAUUGAUAGCUAGUCUCCAAGCGCUCCUAUCCAAAGCUAUCUCUUUAGAGAUAUUCCAAUCCUUAAGGUCUCUCUUAACCGACUCAUCCCACGUCAGUUUAGGUCUACCUCUAUCCCUCUUUACAUUAUCGAUCCGCUCAAGAACCUCACUACGCACCGGCGCCUCAGGAGGCCUUUGUUGGACAUGUCCAAACCAUCUCAGCCGAUGCUGGGUAAGUUUCUCCUCAAUUGGUGCUACCCCGACCCUAUCCCGAAUAACUUCGUUCCGGACUCUAUCCCUCCUUGUGUGUCUGCAAAACCACCGCAACAUCCGCAUCUCUGCUACACUCAGUUGCUGGACAUGUCGCCUUUUUGUAGGCCAACAUUCAGCACCGUAUAACAUCGCCGGACGAAUUGCUGUCCAAUAGAACAUGCCUUUUAGCUUUUGUGGCACCCUCUUGUCUAUGGUUCAAACUUGGGAUGGUUCGCAAAAAUAUUGGUGGUCUUCCACUUUGACUUGCAUAUAGUUGGAGUUGAUCUGAGUAAGGUUUUAAAGGUUGUCAGUUUAAUAUCAGAUAUAUAUCUCUGUAUUUCUUUAUAAACUAUGAUAAGGUUGGCACUGUAAUCAAACUUGCAUUGCAGAACGAUUAGUAGCAUUAAGAAUGUUGGUAGCAGUGGCAGAUCCACAGGGGCUGCUGGUGGUGCUGCAACACGCUCUUUGCCAAGUUAAAUCACAUAUGAAGUUUGCAUAUAAAGGCUGAUGUUAAUAAUUGUUUAGCUCACGAAAAUCUGAAGUUAACAAGAUUACAAGAGGCGUAGCGCCCCCCUUGCACACAAUUCUGGAUCUGCCCCUGGUCAGUAGUGAUGGUUUUGCUGGUAUUUUCCUUGCCCUAGAACUUGUUUGAAAUCUACGUUGCACCAAGGGAAUUGGCUUGCGAAGUAGGUGCCCUACUUUAUUUUAUAUGGUUACCAACAGGUUAAUCAUGCAAUGGCAGUACAUCAUUCCUCUGAAUUGCUGCCACGCUCAAGGUUGUGUUGUUCAGACUGAGGAAGGUCCAAAAAGUGUGGAAACCUUCAUUGGAGACUUGUUAGAGUAAGCUUAAUUUAUGAAGGUGGAAACUAUAAUCAUUUUGAAAUAAGAUAUACAUUUUGUACCUCCUAUUAAACAAAGGAUUAUUGCGAUUGCUGAACUUGGAUGAUUUAACCAAAUGACAUUGGGUAUGGAAAUAUAAUGACAGUAAAUAUAAUUGUAGGGUUUUUUUUUCAUUUUGUAGGCUUUGAAUAUGCAGAGGAAUUUAUGAUUCCUUUUGCAAUAUUAGAGUGAUAAUAGGUUCUUACUCAAGGUCUCUAGUUAAGUUCUGUUAUUGAAUCUGCAUCUAUCUUGUAUACGUCUACCACUUCGGGGAUUGUGAUAGUGAUUUUAUUGCAUAUAUCUCAUGGUGUUCUCUGGCAGCUAUACAUAUUGGUGGUGGCAUGGCCACCAGAUCAUCCAUUCGUUUGCAGAAUUUCUUAUGUUUUGCCUGUUGGCAUGAAGUUUUUUUUUUUUUUGAAAGGAGGCAUGAAGUAUUUGUUAGCAUCCAAAAAGUAGAUUCUAUCAUUCGUUCCAUUUCUCAAUGAAUUCACCACACAGCUGCUGCUUGUUUCAUUUUCUCAAAUUAUCCCACUGCUGGCAUGCCAAUCAGCAAACACAGAAGAAAGUCAAGUGGAAAGAAUAGUUUUGCAUCCCAUAUUCCUUCAACUUAACAUAAUUAGUGCUACACACAUUAAAUUAUUAUAUAUACACAACAAACUUUCGGGAUGUCAUAUGUUCCCUUGAUAACAUGAAAAAUGUUUUCUUCUCUAAUGCAGAAGCUAGAGUAAAAGCAGAUCUAUUUUUCAGCCUUUGUGCUAUGAGAUCUUACCUUAUGUAAAAUUAGACAAACUUAGAAUCAGGUCUAAAAAGCAAGUUACUUAUAGAAGAAAAAACAAAUUAAGAUCCAUUUAUAUAUCCACAAACUUUUUCAGUGUUUAGUUUGUAUGACUUAAGAGCAAUUCUUCAGUGAUAUGUUGAUGUGUUACAAGAUCGAGAUUUUUCAUGGAUUCAACUUUAUAUGGUGAUGCUAAUAUUUAGGCUUUGAUUUUGGGCUGUACCUGUAUUUGGACAAAAAUGCAACUAAUUUUGCGUCUUGACUAAGUUUAUUAGUAAAUCAACAUAUGAAGCAGAAAGUGUUUAUUCUGAAAUGCCUACAUUAUCAGCAAAGUAGAUCAAAAGCCCAAAGCCAUAUUAGCUGCCUUAAUUUAUGUGCAAAUGGGGAGUCGAACUACUGUUGCAGCUCCACUCUACAAUGCUAGCCAACUGGACUAGAGGCCUAUUACCAUGUAGUAGUUACUAAACUAUUAAUUCUAAUUUGCAGCAUUGCCAAUGCGAAGAUAACAAGAUUUUGUUGUUGUUAAUUUUUACAUAUUUUGAGGAAGUCAUUUUGCACUAGUUUUAGAUAUGCAAUAUUAUUUACAGUUGUAAUUUAAGAUAAUAUAUUAUUUAUGUCCAAAGUUUAUUGGUGUUCCAUAUUAACCAGUACAAAAAAUUGUGUUUCAGACCUCAGAUAAAAGAUCCUUGGCUUUAAUAUCCUGUAGUAUUCUUGUACAUUAGAGCUACGUAACCAUGCUCUGGAAAUAGCUAAGAUGUCAAUACUUGUUGAAAUAAAUAUACUCAUUUCUUGUUUCUAUGUGGCAUGGUUCAUAUAAAUAGUUAUACACCAGGGAUUCAUCAAAAAGUUGGCGUCAGGCUGGAUCGGAUGGGAGCAGUCAGCUGGCUCUAAAAGAACCUUCUACCAAUGUUGUCCUAGCUGAUCAUGUUACAACAAAGAAAUGGGAGAAAAUUGUUGAUUUCGAUGACCACCUUGAUGAUAUUAGCAAGGAUUGGUUGAACCCAGGUCUCCUUGAUUGAAGUUUUAUGAUUUGAUCACUUUAAUACUUCAUUGGAACUUCUCUAGAAAUGAGGUGGUGAAGCUGUAUCACGUUAUUUGAUCUGUAUGAUGGAUAUCGCUCGAAAGCAACAUGGAUUUUAAUGUAGACAAUUGAUUUUGUAACAAUUAUAGCCUAUCAAAAUUCUAAGGUCGGCAUGGAGAUGAUGUUUAAGCAUAGAUUAACCUUUGACCAUUCA